CAGCCGCCGCGGGAAUACGUAGGUGGCAAGCGUUGUCCGGAAUGAUUGGGCGUAAAGCGUCUGUAGGUGGUUUAAUAAGUCUGAUGUGAGAGCCCACGGCUCAACCGUGGAGGGUCAUUGGAAACUGUUAAACUUGAGUGCAGGAGAGAAAAGUGGAAUUCCUAGUGUAGCGGUGAAAUGCGUAGAGAUUAGGAGGAACACCAGUGGCGAAGGCGGCUUUUUGGCCUGUAACUGACACUGAGGCGCGAAAGCGUGGGGAGCAAACAGGAUUAGAUACCCGUGUAGUCCCUGUCUCUUAUAC
rnacentral:rRNA from 1 species